GGUGAACACUGGACUCUGAUUGGCUGCAGGCUCUCAGUUAACUCUGACUCAUCAACUAAUCAGAACAUCUUGUUCACAGCAGUGGGUUUGGACCCUGCAGGUCAUCGUCCUCUGGACACCACAGGGUGGCGCUGCAGGUCCACACCAUCCCUCAGAACACAAAGGAGUCCAGUGUUAGAAUAAACAUCAUGAACCAUCAAGGUCCGGAGAGUUACUGUGAACCUCUGUUCAACUGGACCAGAACCACCGGACCAGAACCACCAGCAGUGAUUAUAAACCCUGAUCUGCUUUGUCUUGUUGUCCUGGUGUCGGUCUGUGUCGGGUCGGUCAGAGUUUAUCUGUCGCGGGUGGUUUCACAUUCAGACUGAAAUCAGAUUAAACCUGAUUGAAUUAAAGAGGCCUAGUUGAGGGCGGUUCUGGUUUCAUCGGAGUUCAAACAUUAGAAAUGCUAAAGACGAACAGAACUUCAUACUGUCGUUUUGGUUUAUCGUUCGGUUCUGAUGAGCUCAGACUGACCCAGUUAACAUGAGAAAACUUCUCUUUGAUUCGUCGACACGAACAAACGAGACUCUGAGGAGCUGCUGUUGUUUUCACGCCCACGUCAUGGCGACAGGUGACUAAACUUCUAUGUGAUUGGCUGCCUGAAAAAGACUGCUGGUGACUCCACCGCAGCAACUGGAAGCGCUCUGAGAGAAGCUGGAAGCAACAGCUUUCCCUGCUCGCCCCUCAACAGAUGGAAAAAGACACAGUGUGGUCCAGGACAUGUGAUGUGCUGUGAUGGAUCAGGCUCGUGUUGGUUCCAGGGAGAAAACUUGGCAGGAAAACCAGAACAGCCCCCCCACAACACCUCCUCCCCCUGCUCCACCUCCUCCACCUCCUCCACCUCCUCCCCCUGCCCCACCUCCUCCACCUCCUCCACCUCCUCCUCCUCCCCCUGCUCCACCUCCUCCACCUCCUCCUCCUCCCCCUGCUCCACCUUCUCCACCUCCCUCUCCUCCCCUUUUCUCCCUCUUCAUGUUCAUUCACACUCAGUCGAUCAGGACAUCACAUCUCUCUGCAGUCUUUGUCUCUCUAUCAUUCAUUUCUUCUCCGUCUGUUUGAAUCAUGUCUCUCAGUUUUCUGUCUGUUUAUCUGAGCGGAGCCUCACUGAUCCUGCUGCUGCCUGCGGUGUGUCAGGUUCAGUAUGACGACUUCACGCCGGCCCCAGACUACGACCUGGACUACAACGCCACCUUCGAGUACAGCUUCUUCAGUAACGCCAGCAGCGAGGACCUUGACAAGUUCAGUGAACGAUUCGUCGACCAGGAGAACGGUGGAGAGGACGACAUGGGGGGUCAGCAGGAGGACGAGGAUGUCACUGUUACCAUGACGACCAGCGGACAAACCACAGAGAGGGGAAAGGUCGGAGUUCGUAGUGCCGCAUCACUUCCUGUUUCUCUGGACAUCAGGACGCUGCUCUGGACUCUGUUGAUCCUGAUCAGCCUGAACACACAGCAGCUACUACGCACACUAUGAGAUGGACGUACACUCAGCAGCUGAUGUUGGAUCAGUUCCAAACCAGCGCGGGUCAGCUGAUCAGAGGUGGGAGGCGUCGCCGGCACCUCUGUGACCUUUGACCUCUGCUGAGGAGCCACAGUUUCCCUCAGCCAAUCACAAAGCUUUAUCAGCACUGCAGUUCACAGAGCUCUGACAUCAUCCCGGCACCAUCACAGCCCUUCACUGUUUGUCUGAAGCGACCCAGAACCAGAACUUCUCUAAAGACUCAGAGUUUAUUUUUAUAUUUGUUGGAAAUCUGAACAAGUACGGAAGUUUAAUAACGACGAGACAUCGAACACAAAGUUCACCCAGGAAACAAAAUGAUGUCACACGAACGUCUGAAACAUCAGAACCAUCAGAACCAUUAAAAACAUCAGAACCAUCAGAAACAUCAGAACCAUCAACUCUUCCUCAGAAAAAGAGAUUUUAUUAUUUGGGUUUUUUUCCUCAACGAGAAUGUUUAGAAAUGAAAAUUUCUCAGUUUCUUGAUAUUUCAAUGUUCCUUCAUUUUUUCUCUGUGGAAAAUUAAGUCCAGAAAAGAAACUUUCCCCAGUCGGUGUGAAGCAGGAGGAACAAAACGUUCGUCAGCUGAACGUUUAGACUUUUCUUUAGUUUGAUAUUUAGGUUCUUAAUGAAACUGUUUGAGUUCUAACAGAACCUCCAUGAAGACUUUGUGUCUCUCGGCUUCUCACUGAUGAACUUCCUGCAUGUUCGGGUCUGUUGAGAACUUGUUCUGUGGUGCUGAGUGUUAGUUUCCAGAACCACAGGGUCCAGUUCAUCUUCUGAUCCGUUUGAUGAGGAAACAUGUUGAAGUGUGACGGAGACAUGAAGUGUUCUAAACGUCAUGAUGUUCAGACGUUCAGACAGCAGCACUUUGUCAACAUGCAGCACUUAUCGGACUCUUGUUCUCUGUGAUCGAUUGUUCUGACGACCCGGUGAAGAUGUUUGUGUCACCAAACCAGCUAAAGUUCAUAUCUUUAGGUUUUGAUUCUCCAAAGUGUCCGAACGGGUCGGCAGUGGAAAGAUGCGGCUUAAAAUAAGGUCAAGUUUUGAAUGUUAAAGUCAUUAACAGAAGUUCUGUUGCUUCACAACACACGGGUCAUUUGAGUUCUCCAGAACAAUCCAGAACCAAUUUUUUAUUUGUAUGUGUUUUUGCAAUAAAACGUUUGAAAAGUUC